GGAUGGGUGGUGGUUAGCAUAGCUCCCUCCUAAGCAGUUGACCUGCGUUCGAUUCCCGCCCAACCA
rnacentral:tRNA from 1 species